rnacentral:rRNA from 1 species
CGUAGGUGGCAAGCGUUGUCCGGAUUUAUUGGGUUUAAAGGGUGCGUAGGUGGCCCUGUAAGUCAGUGGUGAAAUAUCUCAGCAUAACUGAGAGGGUGCCAUUGAUACUGCAGGGCUUGAGUACAGAUGAGGUAGGCGGAAUUGACGGUGUAGCGGUGAAAUGCAUAGAUAUCGUCAAGAACACCGAUAGCGAAGGCAGCUUACCAAGCUGUAACUGACACUGAGGCACGAAAGUGUGGGGAUCAAACAGGAUUAGAUACCCUGGUAGUCCACACUGUAAACGUUGAUGACUCGAUGUUGGCGAUACACAGCCAGCGUCCAAGAGCAAUCGUUAAGUCAUCCACCUGGGGAGUACGCCGGCAACGGUG